rnacentral:rRNA from 1 species
AUUGAACGCUGGCGGCAUGCCUUACACAUGCAAGUCGAACGGCAGCACGGGAGCAAUCCUGGUGGCGAGUGGCGAACGGGUGAGUAAAGUAUCGGAACGUGCCCAGUCGUGGGGGAUAACGUAGCGAAAGUUACGCUAAUACCGCAUACGAUCUAUGGAAGAAAGCGGGGGAUCGCAAGACCUCGCGCGAUUGGAGCGGCCGAUAUCAGAUUAGGUAGUUGGUGGGGUAAAGGCUCACCAAGCCGACGAUCUGUAGCUGGUCUGAGAGGACGACCAGCCACACUGGGACUGAGACACGGCCCAGACUCCUACGGGAGGCAGCAGUGGGGAAUUUUGGACAAUGGGCGCAAGCCUGAUCCAGCCAUGCCGCGUGCAGGAUGAAGGCCUUCGGGUUGUAAACUGCUUUUGUACGGAACGAAAAGGUUUGGCUUAAUACGUUGAACUCAUGACGGUACCGUAAGAAUAAGCACCGGCUAACUACGUGCCAGCAGCCGCGGUAA